AUUGAACGCUGGCGGCAGGCUUAACACAUGCAAGUCGAACGAGUGGCGGACGGGUGAGUCAUGCUUGGGAAUCUAGCUUAUGGAGGGGGAUAACUACGGGAAACUGUAGCUAAUACCGCGUAACAUAGGAUGAGCCCAAAUGGGAUUAGGUAGUUGGUGGGGUAAAGGCUCACCAAGCCGACGAUCUCUAGCUGGUCGGAGAGGAUGACCAGCCACACUGGGACUGAGACACGGCCCAGACUCCUACGUGAGGCAGCAGUGGGGAAUAGUGCGCAAUGGGGGCAACCCUGACGCAGCCAUGCCGCGUGAAUGAAGAAGGCCUUAGGGUUGUAAAGUACUUUCAGUGGGGAGGCGUUACCUGCAGAAGAAGCACCGGCUAACUCCGGGCCAGCAGCCGCGGUAAUUC
rnacentral:rRNA from 1 species